UACGUAGGGUGCGAGCGUUGUCCGGAAUUAUUGGGCGUAAAGGGCUCGUAGGCGGUUUGUCGCGUCGGAAGUGAAAACACGGGGCUUAACUCUGGGCCUGCAUUCGAUACGGGCAGACUAGAGUAUGGCAGGGGAGACUGGAAUUCCUGGUGUAGCGGUGAAAUGCGCAGAUAUCGGAAGGAACAUCAGUGGCGAAAGCGGCUUCCUGGACCAGUACCGACGUUCAGGCACGAAAGCGUGGGGAGCAAACAGG
rnacentral:rRNA from 1 species